CUGUGUGAGGGUGGCAGGCAUGAGAGACACGCGUCUGCCCUGUGACUUAUAAGAUCGACAGCAAGAGUGUGCCUGAGGCUCCCAGCAGACACAGGUUAACAGGGUUUGUGGGAGAUGCUCACUGGCUGUGAAAUAAAUAAGUGGCUGAGGAGAAGCCCAGCCUUUCCAGCUACUAAGGCUUAGGAGAAUAUUUUGAGUGUCUUCAACAUCAGAGUAUUUCAUCUUUUCUUUUGUCAGAGUUCUACAUAUAGAUGGUUACAUUCUGUACCUGGAAAUUUCUACAAAAUUUCUUCCCACUUGAGUCCCAUGACUCGGGAAUGGGGUGGUUCUGCUCAUUGACUGGGGUUGGCCAGAAACCAAAAAUGACAGCUUCAAAGGAGCCUGGGAUUUGUCAGUUAUGUUUUGUCAGUACUGUAGAGUUCAAAAAAUGCUUUCACAGUAUCUCUCCAUCUGAGGCGGCAGCGUGCUCUCUUACCAGCAUCAGGAGCUCAGGGCCAUGGGAUGGUGGGGGCUGACUGCUUUGCCGUCAAGACAGCUGAGCUAGUCACUGCAGGUUUGAUUCUUUUACGUAAGGCCUUUCAUGUUCUUUACUUGAAUGUUUCAACAGGGAGUUAAUUAACUGAGUUAAUUAACAUUUAAUAAAUAUGAUUCUUUGUUGAAAAGACAGUUAUAGACAGAAUAUAAGCUCUGAAGCCUUUAAAAACGGUUUCAUUACUGAAAUUUCAGUAGGGGAGAUACACAGUUUAUCUUAUUUAUGCCUGUCUUUUAAAGUAACAAAGAAACAAGACAGAAAAGGCAGAGGAUUGUUUCUGUUCUUCCUUUCUGCUUGCAGGUGCCCUCACCUCCAGUAGCAUCCAUCCAGACACCGGAACUGACACUGGCCGUGCUCCGAACUGCCUCAGCCCUGAAGACACAACUGACAAAUAGAAGGGGACCACGCCCUGUUACAGCAGGUGCUCUCACUUUGUGGAUCCUUAUGUAACUGAGCGGUGUUAAUCAGGAUUGCCCGUUCUACAUUGUGUGGCGCUGCUGCGGUGUCUCCUAGUUACUUGUUUCUCUCGCUUUAUUCACUCAGGGGUAUAUCAUGGACGUCCUCCCACUCCAGACUCACCCGGCCCUUUCAGAUAGAUUGGAGGGGUCUCCUGAUGUGCGGGUGUCGUCUCUUGUCCACGGAAACGUUUGGUGCGAGACUGCUGUGGACAAGGCCCUGGACCACGGCGAAACGCCGGCUCCCUCAGCGCCCGCAGCUCGCCUUGAUUUACCGCAUCAUUGUCUUGAUGGUGGACAGUUAAGUUUUCUCCAUUUUCCACUGUCAGAAAGAAUGUUUGAGUUGCAUCCUUCUUGUACAGAACUUCCUGUGAUCUUGUAUGUGUAUUCCUUUAGUUAAGGCUUCUGGAAAUUUAGUCCCUGGAUGUGACAUUUACAUUCAUCACAGACUCCUUUCAAGUGACUAGAAAUUCCUUCUCCAUUGGGGAAUGAAAAAAUGCACAAUUACUUAUGUAACCAAUUCUCUAUCGCUGGAUAUGAUUUCACUUCAGUUUUUCUUCCCACCUUUGUAAACAGUGCUGUGUAAAUGCCCUGAUGGGUACAUCUUUUUGGACUGAUUUUUUUUUCCUAAAGGAAACGAUUCCUAGAAGUGGAGUUGAGUCAGUGUGUAUGUACGUUUUUCAGAGCUUACAAAUCCAUUGAUAUGUCAUCCUCUGAAAAAGUCGCUCAUGAUUUGUUCUCCCACAGAUGGACACUAGCUAGAUUAUCUUAAAAAUAUUUGCCAAUAUGAUAAGCAAAAGUGCUUUUUCAUUGUUUUUUUUUUGCAUUUGAUGACCAGUGAAGUUUUGAGCAUUUUUCACUCAUUAGUCAUUUGACUUUUUUAAAAUGAAUGAUUCCUUUUGUCCUUUGCCCACAUUUAAGUGAGGGAGCUUCUUGUUGCUUUGUGACAGCUUUUUGUAUGUUAUGAAAAUUAACUUCGUGAAUUCAUCAACAUGUAUCACAGAGCUUUUUCUUGUCAUUUCUUUCCUUUCAUUUUGUUCAGGAAGUUUUCUGAUUUUUGUUGUGGCUCAAACUAUUCUUAGGAUAGUAAAUGUCUUCCUUAUGGGUUUUAUCUUUGACAUUAUUCUUAGAAAUACUCUCUUAUAAUGGAAUAAAUCUCUUCUGUAGGUAUUUUUUAAUCUCUAAGAUGGAGAUUAUAAUAGUACAUGUUAUAGUGAGGAGAAGUUGAGUUAAUAAGAGCAAAGAGUUGUAUUUGCUGUUACUAGUACUUUUUAAUAUUUACAUCGCUAUCUGCAAUUUAUCUUGUGGUCAUUAUGACAGGAGUAGAAUUUAUUCUUUCCAGGUGAUUCUCUGUCCCAGGACAAUUAUCGAAUUCAUAAUUUUCUCUUUGAUUUGAAAUCCCACCUGUACAAAAUACUUACAUACACUAGAGUCUUUUUUGAGCUCAUGGUUCCCUUCUGUCAAUCUCCUUUCCUUACUCCAGCACCAUAUCUUACAUGUUGUAAAAAUUUAUUUAAUAACUGGCAGUCUGAUUUUUUUUGAUUCUUUUCUUCCAUCCCAAAUUUUCUUGUCAAGUAUUAUGACUUUAUUAUUCCUGAAGAAUUCCAAAAUAUUUUGUUCAAGUUAAAAAAAAUCAGAUUGGAAUUUUCAUGGGAUUUUUUAGUAAGUUUUGAAUUAUUCUUAGGAGAACUUACAUCUUUACAAAACUGCUUUUCUCCAUGCAAUAUGUUUAUGUCUCUACAUUCAUACCUCUUACUUUAACCCUCAGUACAGUCCUGAAGUUUCUCCAUUUAGAAUAUGGGCAUUAUUUUUGAAUUUAUUCCAGAUUAUUGUUUAUGUUUUUGUUAAUUUUGUAAGUGAGAAUUUUUUGCUAUUAUAUUUUUAAAUGUUUAAAACUGACAUUUAGAAAGGAAGAUUCGGUUUGUCAAUACUCACUUUGUAACUUGUCAUUUAAAAUUGUAAGUAUUAAGUACUUGUUCCAGAAUCCUUUCUUUUCUGUUUUUUAAAAUUUGUUUCCAAGAUUCUCAAAAUGUUCAUAGCUAAGUAGUAUAGGUGGGGACACAGAUGGAGAGAGGAAGUGUGGCUCACGAACAAACUGUGAGCAAUUUCAUGGCUGCCUUUAGGCUGGAGAAGCCACAGAAGAGCCCAGGUUAGACCAAGGGUGGCUUUGUAUGCACUUGAAAGCCAGCUUUCCUGCCUGUAUGGUGAAGCCUGGUGGGCGUGGCAGGUAGAUGAUCAAGGUCUGAUCAAGGUCAUUGGCUGCACAGAGCACUGUGUCUGUGAGAACUGGAGACCAUUACCAUGGGAAAUGCUUGGCGCCAGGAACACUGCAGGGGAGCUGGGGAGCCUGUGUGUUAAGGAUUUUCCAGCCCUGGGAGUGGGAAGAUGAGACUCUGCAUUCAGAUCUGAGUUUGAAUUCAUCCUCUCUUGUUUACUGGUCCUCUGACUUUUGUCAAGUUAUCUACCCGCUUUGAACUCCUGUUUUCUUGUCUCUCAAAACAGGAGAAUUACAGCCUGCUGCUAGAGUGUUUGAUCAGGGUAAAUGAUUUGUGUCUAUAAGAUGCCACGUACAGUCACAAUCUCAGUGAGAAAUGGGCUGUCGCCUCUUCUUCUGCAACUCAGUGCUCGAUAAGACAUCGGGGGAAAGCCAGUCCCUAAUUUGUAUGUGAUGCAAUGAGGAACAAAAUUAACGUCUUGCCUUUCCCUAGCAGGAUUCUUAUUUCUUUGCUUCAUUUACCUCUUUCCUCCUUUACUCUCCCCUUUCACCUCCUCCACCAAAAGAGACUGAGUCUGUCUCAGAACACUACAUUCAAAUUACUUUAAAUGUUGGCUCAUCCCCAUGAAAUUACAGUGAAAUUAAAAAUAAUCUGUACACGUCCCAGACAUGAUUAUAUUUGAUUUACACACACACACACACACACACACACACACACACACACACACAAUCAGGCUACCUCCCAUUUGCUGAGGGAGAAGGACCACUUUUUCUGAGUUUUCAUUCACUGAGCGUGAGAGCAAAGUCUCUUAAGCAGAAAUUCGCCUGGCUUCUUGCAUGGUUUUUUAAAUUGGAUUUCUGCUUUGUGUCCACAGAAAUAGACUCCUAUUAGAAGAGGGGAAGUGGAGACAUAGAUAUUCUGCUGAGAUAUUGGUGUCAUCAUAUUUGAGUUGGAAAGGACUUACGACAGCAUAGAGUCGUACCUUUUUAUGGGUGAGAAUCCAUGAUAGUGUAACUUGGACAAGAACCCGGGUCUUCUGUCUUCAUGUCCACGCGGAUGAAGAGGCAACUGAGUGGGGGAUGGCAGGGAUCCUUACUUGAGUUCCGGGGUCUUGCUAGUUUCCAUUGUUCAGCUGCCUUUAGUUUAUGUCCAUGUGGCCUCUCAUGGGAAGGUCACUCUAUCCUGAUAGAUUGAGUUUCUAAUCAGCAAAAAGGUCUGGACCCACUCAUGUUUCCCAGAGAUUUUCUGCUGACCUGCUGACAGUUUAUAUACAUGAGAUCUUAGAAACUGCUGGAUAUAAAAUCCUUAUUGUUAUCAUUUGCCCUCGAGUUCCACAGGAAUGGGGUGCUGUCUCAGGCUGUCUAAGGCCAGCUCUGAACAAAGAUAGGGUGAUAGGCUGUGCAGCUGGACACUCCCCAGUCGAAUGGGAUUUCCACCUUAGUUUUUAGAAUCAGGCAGAUGAGUUCAAAUCUUACCUUUACCAGUUAUUAGCUUUGUGACCUUGAGGAAGAAACUUUACUUUUUUGGGGACAAAUUUUCUUUAUCCGUAAAUAAGUUCAGUAUUUAUUUUAGGGUUUUUGUUUUAGAAUUGAAUGAGCUAAUUCCCUCACUUAUUCCUAAAAUACUGAUCACAUGGUUCUAUGCUGGUGACCUAGUGGUUGAUUACUAAGGGACUCAGUAGUGAGAAUGUGGGUGAGGCUCCCUGGAUAAUAGAGCUUAUAUUCCAUGAUAUGCUUGUAAAAGACUGGAUUGCAGUGGAUUUUUAGUAAAUGUCCAUUCUUUUCCUAAUCCCCAUUGAUUGUGUAUAUAUCUUUAUACUAAUAUAUGAACAAUUUUUUAUUGCAAUAUAAGUCUUUUUGUAGUAUUUAAAGUAUGUAGCUAUAACAAAAAUACGUGAAAUAAAAUGAUUUGACUUUUAUUUUCUUUUCAAUAAACAAAACAAAAUAAAAUAGAAAAGAAAAGAAAAAGUUUUGAAGGAGUAGAAAUAAUUUUAUUUCCGUGUAAUCGACUCCCUAUGUUAGGUUUUUCGGUUGUGUUCUUAAACAGCAUAUAAAAUUGACAGGUUUUGACUUCAGUGUUGAUAGCUGGGUGAGUAUAGUUUCUUUUUGUGGUUGUCUUUGAUGAAUUAUUUGCACUAGAUCAUAAAUAAUGUGCAUGUUACAUAUUGGAAACGAGGAAAGAGUGGAGACAUACUACCUCCAAUGCAGUCAUUUUGUUACCGAGUCCAAACUCAUUCUGCUCACCAAAUGACAGGCCAAUAAACUGGGAGAUGAGGUGUUGGAGCAAGGAAUAGUGACUUUAUUUGCAAAGCUGGCAGACCCAGAAGAUGGCAGACUGAUGUCCUGAAGAACCAUCUUCCCCAAGUCAGAAUUGAGUCUCUUUUUAUACUAAAAAGGGGUGGGGCUGCAGUUGGUUGUUGGAAACUUCUUGUUGUAUGAAUUGCUUGUCCUUUGAAUCCGCUGUUCUUGCAGCUGUCCAUGUGGAUCAAAUCAUGUUGCCAUUGUAAUACCUCCAAAAGUAAAACAAAGUUAUUCUCUAUUUUGCAACUUGCCAUCUCUACAUAAGUGCAGAUUAGUUAGCAUCCUUCAAGAUCACGGCCAGGAGAAGAGGCUGUCCUGGAUAUUUCAGUCUAAAGGCAACUUUCUUUUACAAAUGGUGCAGAGAUAGCAAGUCUGAGCCUAGAAAACAGGGCACAGGUUUAAAGCCAAAGGAACAGACCUAACAUGGGGUCAAAAUUGUUCUUUUCUAUUACAAUUCCCUUUUCCGCUUCAUAGAUAAUUUUAGUAAGAAACAUGAGCAAUUUUGUAUUUUUGCUUCUUAAUAACCGAUAAGUGGGCCAACUAUAUUUUUGUGAGCAGGGAUGCUGUGCGGGCAUAGGGGUCACAGCAAACUCUUGUUGGGGGUGGCCGACCCUGGAACAUGUCUGAUGCCCCGUGAGUGUUGGUGAGGGUCCCCUAGCCAGCGGCUCUCUUCAGGAGGCAGCAUAUGGGCAUUGAUAUCUGGAGACCUCAUUUUCGGCUGCAGGAAAUUUUUUAGAUACUGCGAUUGAAAAAUCACUCCAGCUGGGGAUAAUUAGGGAAAAAAGGAAAAGUAAAAGGGUUUGGAGUAGAGUAGAAGAGAAGGACAUCAGAUCACGGAGCCUGAGUGCUUGGCAGCGGGGCUUCGGGGGAGAGGGGAGCAGACGUGGGGAGGGGCCUGGCACCGGAACCAGCUCCUGCACCUGUCAACAUGCCCAAGCCACAUAGCUUUUAAUUGGGCCACCUCUCUGGGCUGGAUGUCACCCUGUGCAGAACCUUGAGAAUCGAAGGUAAGGGGUGGGCAGCACUCACCUAGGGGUCACUGUAGAUUUCGGUCAAGUCCACAGUGCCU